UGGAGUAUGGCUCAGUGGUAGAGUGUUUGCCUAGCAUGCACAAAGCCCUGGGUUCAAUCCCCAACACCACAU
rnacentral:tRNA from 2 species